GACGUAGAGUCCGAACGUUGUCCGAAAUUAUUGGGCGUAAAGAACUCGUAGGCGAUUUGUCACGUCGGGAGUGAAAACUCAGAACUCAACCCUGAGCGUGCUUCCAAUACGGGCAGACUAGAGGUAUGCAGGGGAGAACGGAAUUCCUGGUGUAGCGGUGGAAUGCGCAGAUAUCAGGAGGAACACCGAUGGCGAAGACAGUUCUCUGGGCAUUACCUGACGCUGAGGAGCGAAAGCAUGGGGAGCGAACAGG
rnacentral:rRNA from 1 species